ACACAUGCAAGUCGAGGGAGAGGUUACCUUCGGGUAACCAAAACCGGCGCACGGGUGCGUAACGCGUAUACAAUCUGCCUUUCACAUAGGGAUAGCCCGAAGAAAUUUGGAUUAAUACCUAAUGGUAUAUAAGAGCGGCAUCGUUUUUAUAUUAAAGCUACGGUGGUGAAAGAUGAGUAUGCGUUCUAUUAGCUAGUUGGAGAGGUAACGGCUCCCCAAGGCGACGAUAGAUAGGGGUUCUGAGAGGGAUGUCCCCCACACUGGUACUGAGAUACGGACCAGACUCCUACGGGAGGCAGCAGUGAGGAAUAUUGGACAAUGGUCGGAAGACUGAUCCAGCCAUGCCGCGUGCAGGAUGAAGGUCCUAUGGAUUGUAAACUGCUUUUGUAAGGGAAGAAUAAGGAGUACGUGUACUUUGAUGACGGUACCUUACGAAUAAGCAUCGGCUAACUCCGUGCCAGCAGCCGCGGUAAUACGGAGGAUGCGAGCGUUAUCCGGAAUCAUUGGGUUUAAAGGGUCCGUAGGCGGGCUGAUAAGUCAGAGGUGAAAGCGCUUAGCUCAACUAAGCAACUGCCUUUGAAACUGUCAGUCUUGAAUGAUUGUGAAGUAGUUGGAAUGUGUAGUGUAGCGGUGAAAUGCUUAGAUAUUACACAGAACACCGAUAGCGAAGGCAUAUUACUAACAAUUUAUUGACGCUGAUGGACGAAAGCAUGGGGAGCGAACAGGAUUAGAUACCCUGGUAGUCCACGCUGUAAACGAUGGAUACUAGCUGUUUGGAGUAAUCUGAGUG
rnacentral:rRNA from 1 species